ensembl:lncRNA
CUCCGUGGCAAAACUCCAAAACUUUAUUGAACUUGGCCGAGGUUUUCUCCUCCUCCUCCUCCUCCUCUUCUCCUCCUCUUCUCCUCCUUUUUCUGCUUCUCUCCUUCGUGGCAAAACUCCAAAACUUUAUUGAACUUGGCCGAGGUUUCUUCUUCCUCCUCCUCCUCCUCUUCUCCUCUUUCUUCUGCUCCUCUCCUUCGUGGCAAAAUUCCAAAAUUUUAUUGAGCUUGGCCGAGGUUUUCUCCUCCUCCUCCUCCUCCUCCUCCUCCUCUUCUCCUCUUUCUGCUCCUCUCCUUCGUGGCAAAAAUCCAAAAUUUUAUUGAGCUUGGCCGAGGUUUUCUCCUCCUCCUCCUCCUCUUCUCCUCCUUUUUCUCCUCCUCUCCUCCGUGGCAAAAUUCCAAAAUUUUAUUGAACUUGGCCGAGGUUUCUUCUUCCUCCUCCUCCUCCUCUUCUCCUCUUUCUGCUCCUCUCCUUCGUGGCAAAAUUCCAAAAUUUUAUUGAACCUGGCCGAGGUUUUUUCCUCCUCCUCCUCCUCCUCUUCUCCUCCUUUUUCUGCUCCUCUCCUUCGUGGCAAAAUUCCAAAAUUUUAUUGAACCUGGCCGAGGUUUCUUCUUCCUCCUCCUCCUCUUCUCCUCUUUCUGCUCCUCUCCUUCGUGGCAAAACUCCAAAACUUUAUUGAACUUGGCCGAGGUUUUUUCCUCCUCCUCCUCCUCUUCUCCUCCUCCUCCUCCUCUUCUCCUUUUUCUGCUCCUCUCCUUCGUGGCAAAAUUCCAAAAUUUUAUUGAGCUUGGCCGAGGUUUUCUCCUCCUCCUCCUCCUCCUCCUCCUCCUCCUCUUCUCCUCCUCCUCCUCCUCCUCUUCUCCUCUUUCUGCUCCUCUCCUCCGUGGCAAAAUUCCAAAAUUUUAUUGAGCUUGGCCGAGGUUUUCUCCUCCUCUUCUCCUCCUCCUCCUCCUCCUCCUCUUCUCCUCCUCCUCCUCCUCUUCUCCUCUUUCUGCUCCUCUCCUUCGUGGCAAAAUUCCAAAAUUUUAUUGAGCUUGGCCGAGGUUUUUUCCUCCUCCUCCUCCUCCUCUUCUCCUCCUUUUUCUGCUCCUCUCCUUCGUGGCAAAAUUCCAAAACUUUAUUGAACUUGGCCGAGGUUUUCUCCUCCUCUUCCUCCUCCUCCUCCUCCUCCUCCUCCUCCUCCUCCUCCUCCGUGCCAAAGUUAUUUCCCAGGAAUUUUCAUCGCCACUUCCAGAAUCUCAAUAAAAAGGAAUUUAAAAUCAUCGGGAUCUCCUCCUCCUCCUCCUGCUCCUCCUCCUCUUUCUACUCCUCCGUGGCAAAAUUCCAAAAUUUUAUUGAACUUGGCCGAGGUUUUUUCCUCCUCCUCCUCCUCUUCUCCUCCUUUUCCUGCUCCUCUCCCCCGUGCCAAAGUUAUUUCCCGGGAAUUUUCAUCGCCACUUCCAGAAUCUCAAUAAAAAGGAAUUUAAAAUCAUCGGGAUCUCCUCGUUUUUCUCCUCCGUGGCAAAAUUCCAAAAUUUUCUCGAACUUGCUCAGCGCCCGGAUCGCGUUUCCAGCGCGUCCCUCCUCCACC